rnacentral:lncRNA from 1 species
ACUACUGUAUCUACACACCAUCUAGAAGUUUUUGUUUGUGUUGUCUCUUUCUUCCCGCCUCCUCUUCCACCCUAUCCCAGAGUUCCCAGUUGUCUUGAAAGCACCAUGAAUCCAGUGAAUGCCAGACUUUGAUGACAAAGUUUGAUGACAAAUUUGCCCACAAAGGACCGCCACGCCACCUUCCUGUACAAAUGCAGAAGCUGGGAUUUCUUGAGGUGAUCUGUAACACCCAGAUGACAGACCUGAGCCCUAGGACCAUGCCUCAGGACUACCUGGUAUGAUGACUCCUUGCUGUCCCCAGUCCACCUGGCCGUGCUGCUGCUCCAGUUUCAACUGUUCUGCCUGCGGCUAUGGAACCCUGACCUGUUCACCGGACGUGCUUGUUGCACCCUCGACAACUACUAUGAUUAUUAUUAUUUGACCAUGCUGGUCAUUUAUGAACAUUUUAACAUUUUAACAUUUUGACCAUGUUCUGUUAUAAUAUCCACCCUGCACAGCCAGAAGAGGACUGGCCACCCCUCAUAGCCUGGUUCCUCUCUAGGUUUCUUCCUAGGUUUUUGGCCUUUCUAGGGAGUUUUUCCUAGGGAGUUUUUCCUAGCCACCGUGCUUCUUUCACAUGCUUUGCUUGCUGUUUGGGGUUUUAGGCUGGGUUUCUGUACAGCACUUUGAGAAUAUCAGCUGAUGUACGAAGGGCUAUAUAAAAAUAAAUUUGAUUUGAUUUGAGUUG